rnacentral:rRNA from 1 species
AACGAACGCUGGCGGCAGGCCUAACACAUGCAAGUCGAGCGCCCCGCAAGGGGAGCGGCGGACGGGUGAGUAACGCGUGGGAACGCGCCCUUUGCUACGGAAUAGCCCCGGGAAACUGGGAGUAAUACCGUAUAAGCCCUACGGGGGAAAGAUUUAUCGGCAAAGGAUCGGCCCGCGUUGGAUUAGGUAGUUGGUGGGGUAAUGGCCUACCAAGCCGACGAUCCAUAGCUGGUUUGAGAGGAUGAUCAGCCACACUGGGACUGAGACACGGCCCAGGCUCCUACGGGAGGCAGCAGUGGGGAAUCUUAGACAAUGGGCGCAAGCCUGAUCUAGCCAUGCCGCGUGAGCGAUGAAGGCCUUAGGGUUGUAAAGCUCUUUCGUGGGGGAAGAUAAUGACUGUACCCCAAGAAGAAGCCCCGGCUAACUCCGUGCCAGCCGCCGCAGUAAAAC